UACGUAGGGAGCGAGCGUUAUCCGGAUUUAUUGGGUGUAAAGCGUGUGUAGGCGGUAAAUUAAGUCUAAGGUUUAAGCCCGGAGCUCAACUCCGGUUCGCCUUAGAAACUGAUUUUCUUGAGUAUGGUAGAGGCAAGUGGAAUUUCUAGUGUAGCGGUAAAAUGCGUAGAUAUCACGCAGAACCCCGAUUGCGAAGGCAGCAUACCGGUGCACAACUGACGCUCAGGCACGAAAGCGUGGGUAUCGAACAGG
rnacentral:rRNA from 1 species